rnacentral:other from 1 species
GGCGGGCUGCCCGGCCCGUCAGGACGACAUUCCCCGGGGCUUAUCACUUAGAACGGGAGCUGCCUCUGACUGGGACCGUGGUCCCUAUCACCGCGGCGCCCACCUGGUCCUUUGGGUCCAGGGCGAAUAAAAGUCCGACGGCCAGGGCGGCGCCUUA